rnacentral:rRNA from 1 species
GGCGUAAAGCGCAUGCAGGUGGAUCUGCAAGUCCGUAAGUGAAAUCCCGCCGCUCAACGGCGGGGCUGCUUGGGAAACUGCAGGUCUGGGGACCUGUAGAGGGGGGUAGAAUUUC